AGAGUUUGAUCCUGGCUCAGAGCGAACGCUGGCGGCAGGCUUAACACAUGCAAGUCGAACGGGCAUCUUCGGAUGUCAGUGGCAGACGGGUGAGGAACACGUGGGAACAUGCCCUUCGGUUCGGAAUAACUCAGGGAAACUUGAGCUAAUACCGGAUACGCCCGAGAGGGGAAAGAUUUAUUGCCGAAGGAUUGGCCCGCGUCUGAUUAGCUAGUUGGUGAGGUAACGGCUCACCAAGGCGACGAUCAGUAGCUGGUCUGAGAGGAUGAUCAGCCACAUUGGGACUGAGACACGGCCCAAACUCCUACGGGAGGCAGCAGUGGGGAAUAUUGGACAAUGGGCGAAAGCCUGAUCCAGCCAUGCCGCGUGAGUGAUGAAGGCCUUAGGGUUGUAAAGCUCUUUUAUCCGGGAAGAUAAUGACUGUACCGGAAGAAUAAGCCCCGGCUAACUUCGUGCCAGCAGCCGCGGUAAUACGAAGGGGGCUAGCGUUGCUCGGAAUCACUGGGCGUAAAGGGCGCGUAGGCGGAUGAUUAAGUCGGAGGUGAAAGCCCAGGG
rnacentral:rRNA from 1 species